UACGUAGGGUGCGAGCGUUGUCCGGAAUUACUGGGCGUAAAGAGCUCGUAGGUGGUUUGUCGCGUUGUUCGUGAAAACCGGGGGCUUAACCCUCGGCGUGCGGGCGAUACGGGCAGACUAGAGUGCUGUAGGGGAGACUGGAAUUCCUGGUGUAGCGGUGAAAUGCGUAGAUAUCGGGAGGAACACCAGUGGCGAAGGCGACUUCCUGGCCUGUUCUUGACGCUGAGGCGCGAAAGCUAGGGUAGCAAACGGG
rnacentral:rRNA from 1 species